ensembl:lncRNA UCA1 urothelial cancer associated 1
GAAGAAAUGACCCAGGAGCUGAUAUUCAUGACCCUCCAAGAGACCCGGCAGCUUGUGGGCAUCUCAGAUGAGCCCCAGGCAGUUCUGAAACCCAGGACCAGGAAAAGAUAAGAGGGUGGGCUGAGGUCACAUCACCCUGUAACGUUUCCAAAAGGGAACUGUCAGGCCUCUGAGCCGAAGCUCAGCCAUUGUAACCCCUGUGACCUGCACAUAUAUGUCCAGGUGGCCUACAGGAGCCAAGAAGUCUGGAGCAGCUGAAAAACAAGGAAGUGAAACAGCCAAUUCCUGCCUUAACUAAUUAACCCACCUUACGACAUUCCACCAUUAUGACGUGUUCCUGCCCUGCCCCAACUGAUCAAUCGACCCUGUGACAUUCUUCUGGACAAUGAGUCCCAUCAUCUCUCCACCAUGCACCUUGUGACUCCCUCCUCUGCUGACAACAGAUAACCACCUUUAACUGUAACUUUCCACAGCCUACCCCAGCCCUAUAAAGCUGCCCCUCUCCUAUCUCCCUUCGCUGACUCUCUUUUCAGACUCAGCCCACUUGCACCCAAGUGAAUUAACAGCCUUGUUGCUCACACAAAGCCUGUUUAGGUGGUCUUCUAUACGGACAUGCUUGACACUUGGUGCCAAAAUCUGGGCCAGGGGGACUCCUUCGUGAGACCGGCCCCCUGUCCUGGCCCUCAUUCCGUGAAGAGAUCCACCUGCGACCUCGGGUCCUCAGACCAGCCCAAGGAACAUCUCACCAAUUUCAAAUCGGAUCUCCUCGGCUUAGUGGCUGAAGACUGAUGCUGCCCGAUCGCCUCAGAAGCCCCUUGGACCAUCACAGAUGCCGAGCUUCGGGUAACUCUUACGGUGGAGGAUUCCCAGCCAUAUGAAGACACCCUAGCUGGACGAUCAGUCCUUGUCAAAAGUCUGACCCCUCAAACUCUACAGCCUCAAUGGACCAGACCCUACCCGGUCAUUUAUAGCACACCAACUGCCGUCCAUCUGCAGGACCCUCUCCAUUGGGUUCACCAUUCCAGAAUAAAGCCAUGCCCAUCAGACAGCCAGCUUGAUCUCUCCUCUUCCUCCUGGAAGCCACAAGAUUAGGCCGAGAGCCGAUCAGACAAACAACCUACAACCCUUAAGCUCCUGGCAGCGCCCAGCCAAGGCCAUGCUUCCUUGCAACACUCCUUCCAAAUGGCCAUCCCAGCAUGCUUCCAAGCAGGCUUCAUCCGUUCCUCUGGACCCUCAUCUCUUAAGACCUGCCGCCUAUAAAAAGGAUUAUAUCUUGAGACCCUAUCCUCUAAAAUUUUUUCCACACCCAAAACAAAAAAUCUCUGGGUCAAAAGUCUAAAACGCUUAGGCUGGCAACCAUCAGAUCCUUGCCCAUGGUGUCCUCAAGCCUACUCUCAUGAAAUGGACAACAGUACACGCAUAUGGGGCCAGUUCCACAUAUUUGGCAACCAGACCAGCAUCCAGGACAACACAAAGUAUGUUGUUUGUUGUUAGAGGGCUUGGGACAUUUCACUCUUUGCCAGCCUCAGCUUAAUCCAGGAGACAAAGAUUAUUUUCCUUAUUAUCUCUUCUGCAUAGGAUCUGCAAUCAGAACUAUUGAACUUCUCCAUUCAGACCGCCACUCACACCUAUGGGAAAAGGGUAAUGUAUCAUCGGCUUAGCAACAGGGAAUACUAUUCGUAUGAUGGAAAAUGGGGACAAAAGGCUUUGGUACAUAAAACAUUAUUCCUUCCUUGGCCUAAAAACUCAUCGCCACCUACAUUAAAGCUAAUAUGCCUGAUUACUGUUUUUAGAGAACUUAUUUUAUUAGGGCAGUUCCAAGCUCAAAAAUACGCUAACUGGCACCUUGUUAGCUACAUAAAAAUGCACCCUAGACCCGAAACUUACUAGACUCAUUAUAAAAUUUUCUUUAAGGUGUCCACGCAGUCCCUGGUCACACUUGAAGCAGUCCGGAGAAAUAUCAGCCCUACCCCAGUAAUCCCCAGAAGGAACUUACACUUUUUUUUAAUCUUUUCCUACAACUUCAUAUUUUAUAAAUAAAAAGACAAAAAUGUCAGGCCUGUGAGCUGAAGCUUAGCCAUUGUAACCCCUGUGACCUGCACAUAUCCGUCCAGGUGGCCUGCAGGAGCCAAGAAGUCUGGAGCAGCCGAAAAACCACAAAGAAGUGAAACAGCCAGUUCCUGCCUUAACUAAUUAACCCACCUUACGACAUUCCACCAUUAUGACUUGUCCACCAUUAUGACUUGUUCCUGCCCUGCCCCAACUGAUCAAUCAACCCUGUGACAUUCUUCUCCUGGACAAUGAGUCCCAUCAUCUCUCCACCAUGCACCUUGUGACCCCCUCCUCUGCUGAGGAUAACCACCUUUAACUGUAACUUUCCACGCCUACCCAAGCCCUAUAAAGCUGCCCCUCUCCUAUCUCCCUUCACUGACUCUCUUUUCGGACUCAGCCCACUUGCACCCAAGUGAAUUAACAGCCUUGUUGCUCACACAAAGCCUGAUUGGGUGUCUUCUAUACGGACACGCGUGACAGGAACCUCAACCCAAAGGCAGUCUGAUGAGGUGUCUAAGAUAAAAGUAGCGGCACAAAGGCUUUUGUAAACAGAGGCGUUUCAUGUGGUUUUCCUUUCCUUUCCUUAUAUGUGAAAAGGUGACAGAAAAGAAAUCUUCCUAAAAGAGUCAGCCACUG